CGUUGGUGGCAAGCGUUGUCCGGAAUUAUUGGGCGUAAAGCGCGCGCAGGCGGUUCCUUAAGUCUGAUGUGAAAGCCCACGGCUCAACCGUGGAGGGUCAUUGGAAACUGGGGAACUUGAGUGCAGGAGAGAAGAGUGGAAUUCCACGCGUAGCGGUGAAAUGCGUAGAGAUGUGGAGGAACACCAGUGGCGAAGGCGACUCUUUGGCCUGUAACUGACGCUGAGGCGCGAAAGCGUGGGGAGCAAACAGGAUUAGAUACCCUGGUAGUCCACGCCGUAAACGAUGAGUGCUAAGUGUUAGAGGGUUUCCGCCCUUUAGUGCUGCAGCAAACGCAUUAAGCACUCCGCCUGGGGAGUACGGCCGCAAGGCUG
rnacentral:rRNA from 1 species